rnacentral:rRNA from 1 species
AUUGAACGCUGGCGGCAGGCCUAACACAUGCAAGUCGAACGAGGGGCGGACGGGUGAGUAAUAUCUGGGAACCUGCCUGGUAGAGGGGGAUAACUACUAGAAACGAUAGAUAAUACCGCAUAACAUGGGAUGCGCACAGAUGGGAUUAGCGAGUUGGUGGGGUAAAGGCGCACCUAGGCCACGAUCCUUAGCUGGUCUGAGAGGAUGACCAGCCACACUGGAACUGAGACACGGUCCAGACUCCUACGUGAGGCAGCAGUGGGGAAUAUUGCACAAGGGGCGAAAGCCUGAUCCAGCCAUGCCGCGUGUGUGAAGAAGGCCUUCGGGUUGUAAAGUACUUUAGGCAGGGAGGCGUUACCCGCAGAAGAAGCACCGGCUAACUCCGUGCCAGCAGCCGCGGUAAUUC